CAAGAGGGAAGGAAAUAACGUGAGCAGAAAGCUAUCUUGGAGCGUUUUCCGGCGUGGAGUGGAAAAAUUAAUGAAAGUUGGGAGGCAGCCGUUGAGGGAGAUGAAGACUUCGCUGCUUCUGACGCCAGCCGUCCGCUCUCCCCCGCUUCCCUUCUCUCGCUUUAUCCAUGGCUUGACGACGUUUCCCAAAAACUUUCCUAAAGUCUCCCACUCCACAAAACCUCACUUCUUUCGUCCUCCUAGACGCCGCCGCCUCGUCGUCUUCUCCCCUCUCGCCAUGGCCUCCUCCGCGCCUCGGUCCUCUCAGGUAGCAGCGCCUGGUGAUGUGAAUGACGGUUCCGAUGCUUUUCAGCGAAUUCAGGCUCACCAGGAGGCAGCAGCUCGACUUUCUCCAAUUGAGGAAAUACGAACUAUACUUGAUCAUAGUGUCAGGGGAAUGCUCUCUACGUUCUCACAGGAGCAUGAAGGUUAUCCAGCAGGGUCGAUGGUUGACUUUGCGUGUGAUCAUGAUGGCUCUCCAAUACUAGCAGUUAGUAGUUUAGCAGUUCAUUCAAAGAAUCUCAUGUCAAAUCCUAAAUGCUCUUUGCUUGUUGCCAAGGAUCCUGAAGAUAGGACUGAUACAGUAAUCACCCUAUAUGGAGAUGCUACUCCAGUCUCUGAAAAUGAUAGAGAGGCCAUACGUACUGCAUACCUCAGAAGACAUCCUGAUGCAUUCUGGGUUGACUUUGGUGACUUCAAUUACAUCCAUAUCAAACCCAAAUUUGUGCGAUACGUAUCUGGAGUUGCUACUGCUCUGUUAGGAUCAGGAGAAUUUGAUGCGGAGGAGUAUAAAUCUGCAAAAGUUGAUCCAAUAUACCAGUUUUCAAAGCCUAUCACGUCCCACAUGAAUAGGGAUCAUGCUGAUGAUACAAAAGCUAUAGUACAAUAUUCGACCUCAGUUAAGGUGGACUCUGCUUAUAUGCUGGAUGUUGACAGUCUUGGUUUCAACGUAAAGGCUGGUUAUCAAGGAAACACUCAGAAGCUUCGGAUACCAUUUCCUAGGCGUGCCCAAGAUAGGAACAUACAACCGAUAUGGGACUGAUACAAGCUUGCACAGAUUCUGACAUGCUCCCCCUUUUAAGCCCAAACAUCCUCACAAGGGUCCAAUCAGAAACAAAAAUACCAUGACUAGCUCGUGGGAUGUGAAGACUCUCAUUGUGGAAAUGCUUCAAGCUGCUAAAUCCUCUAGUUCCACAGCUGAAUGAACAAUUUACUAAGGAGAGAGAAGUUAUCGGUUGUUUGUCUGAUAUCAGAUGAAUACAUAUAAGGAUAUCCGUGGGCAUGGUAACUCUGAGGAAUGUGGAAACUUGAAAGCAAUAAUUGUUGCCGUAAUGGCAAAUGGAAAUCUUGGCAUGCUUCUAAGGUAGCUACAUGGAUUUGGGCUUUAUUCUCAAAGUUUAAAUCAGAUAUAAACAAUUUGAUUGUAAAGGAUGUAUUAUAUCUCAAAUUUUCCUUUCUCAGUACAUUUUAGGUCUUAAAUUGGUAGUAGAGAUUGAUGUUCCUGAAAUUUGAAGAGUGGAAAGAGACGUAAGAACGAGUACUAGCUAUCAUGUUGAGAAUAUAGGGGACUUUGCAGUUUAUCUUCCACUAAAUUUUCUUCAGCUGUGUCUGUAAGCUUACUUUGCCCAGCAUUAUCAUCAUUUUCAUGUUAUAAACAUUUUUAUUGCUACGGAGACACAUUGUGUAUUCCUGAAAGAUUAGAAUGCAAUAUUUUGUCUUCUCUUGGA